rnacentral:rRNA from 1 species
ACGAACGCUGGCGGCAGGCUUAACACAUGCAAGUCGGGCGGCCGUCCUUCAGACGGCGGAUGACAGAGAACGGAUGACAGAGGACAGAAGGGGCGCCCUUUUCUGUUGUCUGUCCUCUGUUGUCUGUUGUCUGUCCUCUGAUGGACGGCAGCGGCAGACGGGUGAGUAACGCGUGGGAAUCUACCCAUCCCUACGGAACAACUCCGGGAAACUGGAGCUAAUACCGUAUACGCCCUGGACUUUAUGUUUGGGGGAAAGAUUGAUCGGGGAUGGAUGAGCCCGCGUUGGAUUAGCUGGUUGGUGGGGUAAAGGCCUACCAAGGCGACGAUCCAUAGCUGGUCUGAGAGGAUGAUCAGCCACAUUGGGACUGAGACACGGCCCAAACUCCUACGGGAGGCAGCAGUGGGGAAUAUUGGACAAUGGGCGCAAGCCUGAUCCAGCCAUGCCGCGUGAGUGAUGAAGGCCCUA